rnacentral:tRNA from 1 species
GUGCGUGUAGAUUGAUUAUUUAGAUUGUAAGGCUGUUAACCUUAAGGAGGUAGUAUACCCGCGGACG